UUUUAUGGAUGAGCAAAGAAAGUGGUUUCUUGAGAUUAAAUCUACUCCUGAUGAAGAUAUUGUGAA
rnacentral:pre_miRNA from 1 species